rnacentral:rRNA from 1 species
GAUGAACGCUGGCGGCGUGCCUAAUACAUGCAAGUCGAGCGAACGGACGAGAAGCUUGCUUCUCUGAUGUUAGCGGCGGACGGGUGAGUAACACGUGGAUAACCUACCUAUAAGACUGGGAUAACUUCGGGAAACCGGAGCUAAUACCGGAUAAUAUUUUGAACCGCAUGGUUCAAAAGUGAAAGACGGUCUGGCUGUCACUGAUAGAUGGAUCCGCGCUGCAUUAGCUAGUUGGUAAGGUAACGGCUUACCAAGGCAACGAUGCAUAGCCGACCUGAGAGGGUGAUCGGCCACACUGGAACUGAGACACGGUCCAGACUCCUACGGGAGGCAGCAGUAGGGAAUCUUCCGCAAAGGGCGAAAGCCUGACGGAGCCACGCCGCGUGAGUGAUGAAGGUCUUCGGAUCGUAAAACUCUGUUAUUAGGGAAGAACAUAUGUGUAAGUAACUGUGCACGUCUUGACGUUACCUAAUCAGAAAGCCCCGGCUAACUACGUG